GGAACUAUAGUCUAAUCAUGACAUAUGAUUUGCACUCAUAAAGUGUUUUAUAACUAGUUUCA
rnacentral:tRNA from 1 species